rnacentral:antisense_RNA from 1 species
CUCUUCCCAGAGAGCCAGGGAUCCCAAGGUGCAAAGUUUGGAGCCAGGGGCAGGCUGAGCCUCUGUUCUCCUAGUUCCAGCCUUGGCUCUUUAAUGAAAAUUGUCAGUCAAGUAAUACUCCAUCAUCACCUUCCAGCAAAGAGUGAGUGGGGAGAUCUGAGAAUCGAUACUGAACAGCUUCAGUACUACGAUGCCAUAAUGGGGCUGUGAGCUCAGCCGAAAGCCCCCCGCCCAGUUUUUUUUGGAAGUGGUCAUAGAAUCUCUCUGGAGAAACAACAUGGAAAUGGAGACCAAAAGAGGGAAGGAGGGAUGCCACCAGAUGACACUGGGAUCCCGGAAGACGGAACACUGUGUGCAACGGGCAAAGAACUUUUCAAAAGGGAUUUCAACCUCUGACCACCUGGAGACAGGCGACUGGUGCUCAUUGUAAAUGCACUGACAUGACAGGGAACAGCUGCUGGGGAGGUGGAGAUGGUGCGGGGAGAGACAGGAAGCCCCAGAGGCUUGGAAAUCCAGGAGCCACAGGAAGCAGUGAGCUUUCUGCGGAG